AAGGUAGCUUGCUACYGGACCUAGCGGCGGACGGGUGAGUAAUGCUUAGGAAUCUGCCUAUUAGUGGGGGACAACAUCUCGAAAGGGAUGCUAAUACCGCAUACGUCCUACGGGAGAAAGCAGGGGAUCUUCGGACCUUGCGCUAAUAGAUGAGCCUAAGUCGGAUUAGCUAGUUGGUGGGGUAAAGGCCUACCAAGGCGACGAUCUGUAGCGGGUCUGAGAGGAUGAUCCGCCACACUGGGACUGAGACACGGCCCAGACUCCUACGGGAGGCAGCAGUGGGGAAUAUUGGACAAUGGGGGGAACCCUGAUCCAGCCAUGCCGCGUGUGUGAAGAAGGCCUUAUGGUUGUAAAGCACUUUAAGCGAGGAGGAGGCUACUYUAGUUAAUAYCUAGAGAUAGUGGACGUUACUCGCAGAAUAAGCACCGGCUAACUCUGUGCCAGCAGCCGCGGUAAUACAGAGGGUGCGAGCGUUAAUCGGAUUUACUGGGCGU
rnacentral:rRNA from 1 species